rnacentral:rRNA from 1 species
UACAGAGGUCUCAAGCGUUGUUCGGAUUCAUUGGGCGUAAAGAGCGUGUAGGCGGUCCGGUAAGUCAGCUGUGAAAGUCAAGGGCUCAACCCUUGAAUGCCGGUUGAUACUGUCGGGCUAGAGUCCGGAAGAGGCGAGUGGAAUUCCCGGUGUAGCGGUGAAAUGCGCAGAUAUCUGGAGGAACACCGGUGGCGAAGGCGGGUUGCUGGGCUGACACUGACGCUGAUGCGCGAAAGCCAGGG